rnacentral:tRNA from 2 species
AGGGAUGUGGUUCAGUUGUAGAAUGCUUGCUGGUCAUGCAUGAGGUCCUGGGUUCAAUUCCCAGCAUCACAA